rnacentral:rRNA from 1 species
GAUGAACGCUGGCGGCGUGCCUAAUACAUGCAAGUCGAGCGGUAAGGCUCUCACAGAUUAUUUGAUCAUGGUAACUCCGGUUAUCGCAGCAAACCAAUGGAAUUCUCCGGCUAGAGAAGGAAUUGGGGCGGGAAGAUCGAAUGAUGUGUGAGAGUACACGAGCGGCGGACGGCUGAGUAACGCGUAGGAACAUACCCCAAAGUGAGGGAUAAGCACCAGAAAUGGUGUCUAAUACCGCAUGUGGUCUUCGGAUUAAAGCUUUAUGCGCUUUGGGAAUGGCCUGCGUCCGAUUAGCUAGUUGGUGAGGUAAUAGCUCACCAAGGCGACGAUCGGUAGCUGGUCUGAGAGGAUGAUCAGCCAGACUGGGACUGAGAACGGCCCAGACUCCUACGGGAGGCAGCAGUAGGGAAUUUUCCACAAUGGACGAAAGUCUGAUGGAGCAACGCCGCGUGCAGGAUGAAUGCCUUCGGG